rnacentral:rRNA from 1 species
AGCGGCGGACGGGUGACUAAUGCUUAGGAAUCUGCCUAUUAGUGGGGGACAACAUCUCGAACGGGAUGCUAAUACCGCAUACGUCCUACGGGAGAAAGCAGGGGAUCUUCGGACCUUGCGCUAAUAGAUGAGCCUAAGUCGGAUUAGCUAGUUGGUGGGGUAAAGGCCUACCAAGGCGACGAUCUGUAGCGGGUCUGAGAGGAUGAUCCGCCACACUGGGACUGAGACACGGCCCAGACUCCUACGGGAGGCAGCAGUGGGGAAUAUUGGACAAUGGGCGCAAGCCUGAUCCAGCCAUGCCGCGUGUGUGAAGAAGGCCUUAUGGUUGUAAAGCACUUUAAGCGAGGAGGAGGCUACUUUAGAUAAUACCUAGAGAUAGUGGACGUUACUCGCAGAAUAAGCACCGGCUAACUCUGUGCCAGCAGCCGCGGUAAUACAGAGGGUGCAAGCGUUAAUCGGAUUUACUGGGCGUAAAGCGCGCGUAGGCGGCUAAUUAAGUCAAAUGUGAAAUCCCCGAGCUUAACUUGGGAAUUGCAUUCGAUACUGGUUAGCUAGAGUG